rnacentral:rRNA from 1 species
AGCGGCGGAUGGGUGAGUAACACGUGGGGAACCUGCCCCUAAGUCUGGGAUACCAUUUGGAAACAGGUGCUAAUACCGGAUAAUAAAGCAGAUCGCAUGAUCAGCUUUUGAAAGGCGGCGUAAGCUGUCGCUAAGGGAUGGCCCCGCGGUGCAUUAGCUAGUUGGUAAGGUAACGGCUUACCAAGGCGACGAUGCAUAGCCGAGUUGAGAGACUGAUCGGCCACAUUGGGACUGAGACACGGCCCAAACUCCUACGGGAGGCAGCAGUAGGGAAUCUUCCACAAUGGACGCAAGUCUGAUGGAGCAACGCCGCGUGAGUGAAGAAGGUUUUCGGAUCGUAAAGCUCUGUUGUUGGUGAAGAAGGAUAGAGGUAGUAACUGGCCUUUAUUUGACGGUAAUCAACCAGAAAGUCACGGCUAACUACGUGCCAGCAGCCGCGGUAAUACGUAGGUGGCAAGCGUUGUCCGGAUUUAUUGGGCGUAAAGCGAGCGCAGGCGGAAAAAUAAGUCUAAUGUGAAAGCCCUCGGCUUAACCGAGGAACUGCAUCGGAAACUGUUUUUCUUGAGUACAGAAGAGGAGAGUGGAACUCCAUGUGUAGCGGUGGAAUGCGUAGAUAUAUGGAAGAACACCAGUGGCGAAGGCGGCUCUCUGGUCUGCAACUGACGCUGAGGCUCGAAAGCAUGGGUAGCGAACAGGAUUAGAUACCCUGGUAGUCCAUGCCGUAAACGACGAGUGCUAAGUGU